AUGCUUGCCUCAGUAGCACACAUACUUAAGUUGGAACAGUAGAGAGAUUGGUACGGCCUCUGUGAAAGAAUGACAUGCAAAUUUGUGAAGCAUUCCAUAUUUUU
ensembl:snRNA U6 U6 spliceosomal RNA